AUGCUCAGCUACUUUAAAAAAAUGUUUUGUAGAGAUAUGGGUCUCACUGUGUUGCCCAGGCUGGCCUUGAAUUCCUGGGCUCAAGCAAUCCUCCUGCUAUGGCCUCCUAAAGUGCUGAGAUCACAGGCGUGUGUGACUGCACCUGGCUAAGCUGUGUUCUUUUUAUUCUUUACCAACAUGAGAACUCAAGAGUAGACAGACACUCAGACUUCCCCCAAAGUCAACCUUGCACAUAGGUGAAUUUUACAGCUACAAGAUUACAGGACUAUCAGCAGUUCUAUUUUUUUUUUCCCCCAUUUGGUCAUUUAUAAGCCAGUAGUGACACCAUCCUUUUCCCUGUAAAUCUCCUGAAAGAAAUCCCAAAUAUUAGACUAUUGCUUUGGGUUACACACUAAACAGGUAAAUGAUCUCCUGGACCACUAGAACCCACUACUAAAAUAUAUAUUUGGUACCAUAAUCUCUCUGGUCUGUUUCCUCAUCUAUAAAAUGGGAAUAAUAGUAGUAUCCACCUAAUAGAAUUUUUAAAAGUACUUAUUUAUAGUAUGAAAUAGAGACAGGGUCUCCUUGUGUUGCCCAGGCUGGUCUCGAACUCCUGGGCUCAAGCAAUCUUUCUACCUUGGCCUCUCAAAGUGCUGGGAUUUCAGGUGUAAUCACCAUGCCCAGCCUACAGCUGUCAUGAAGAGUAAAUAUUAAUACACGUAAAGCCCUUAGAACAGUGCCUACCAUAGAGCAGUCCACCAAUUAAAGUGACACAUUUAUUACCUAAGAGGGAAGAGAGAAUAAGCCAUCUUCCAUGAAGCUGUCAGCGAAGAGUGGCAGAAAAGUGGAGGCGAUUGAAACUGGGUGUAUAUUUAGAAAUGUUGCCAUGGUCACUGUUUCCAGUUUGGGCGUCUGUCAUUUGGCUGUUACAGCCUGCAGGAGAUACCCAUGGAAUGAGUAAAUCUCAAAAAAGUGGCUUUGAAUUUGAGCUUCAAUAGAAUCUUGAACAAAGAAAAGUACAUUUUUAGAGAUGUGACAAGAGACAAAGGAAAAGGACUUUAAUGCUCUAUGGGUGGCAAUUUAUAGGAAGGCAAAUGACCUUCAGAUAAACUCUGCCAGGUCUAUUCUGGAUGCCAGGACCAGAGAAGUGGCCACCACCACGUGGAGCAGUUGAGACCAUUGGUGAGGUGAGGAUAAAAUAAUUCAU
rnacentral:lncRNA from 10 species